rnacentral:tRNA from 1 species
GCUCCGAUAGUAUAGCCAGGUCAGUAUACGAGCUUGUCGAGCUUGGGACCGGGGUUCAAAUCCCCGUCGGGGCGCCA